rnacentral:rRNA from 1 species
AGUAAAAGUCGUAACAAGGUUUCCGUAGGUGAACCUGCGGAAGGAUCAUUAACGAAUUGUAAAGGGGGUUGAUGCUGGUAGAGUUCUCUCUGCAUGUGCUCGCUCCCGACAAUCUCUUAAUUCAUACACCUGUGCACCCUCUGGGAGUUUGGUUAUCCGGUUCAUUCUGGAUUUUUCCCUCUCUCCUUUUUAUAAAAACCCCCUUUUGUAAAACAUCGAACGUGAAUUAGUGCCGCAAGGCCUUAAACAAAUACAACUUUUAACAACGGAUCUCUUGGCUCUCGCAUCGAUGAAGAACGCAGCGAAUUGCGAUAAGUAAUGUGAAUUGCAGAAUUCAGUGAAUCAUCGAAUCUUUGAACGCACCUUGCGCUCCCUGGUAUUCCGGGGAGCACGCCUGUUCGAGUGUCGUGAAACUCUCAAACCGGAUGGCUUUAUUGCUUCAUCUUGGUUUGGAUUUGGGCUUUUGCUGUGUCAAAACGGCUAGCCUUAAAAGCAUUAGCUGAAUCUUGGUUAUGAGAUUGGUUCUACUUGGCGUGAUAAUUUAUCUGACCGCUGAGGACAUCUUUCGGGAUGGCCAGACUUUUUCCUCGAGUCGCUUCUAAUCUGGCAUUUACGGGAAACCGUACUUCCACUUUUCAACUUUGACCUCGAAUCAGGCGGGACUACCCGCUGAACUUAAGCAUAUCAAUAAGCGGAGGA